rnacentral:rRNA from 1 species
GUGAACGCUGGCGGCAGGCCUAACACAUGCAAGUCGAACGGCAGCACAAGAGAGCUUGCUCUCUGGGUGGCGAGUGGCGGACGGGUGAGGAAUGCAUCGGAAUCUGCCCAUUUGUGGGGGAUAACCUCGGGAAACCGGGACUAAUACCGCAUACGACCUACGGGUGAAAGCAGGGGAUCUUCGGACCUUGCGCAUGGAUGAGCCGAUGCCGGAUUAGCUAGUUGGAGGGGUAAAGGCCCACCAAGGCGACGAUCCGUAGCUGGUCUGAGAGGAUGAUCAGCCACACUGGGACUGAGACACGGCCCAGACUCCUACGGGAGGCAGCAGUGGGGAAUAUUGGACAAUGGGCGCAAGCCUGAUCCAGCCAUGCCGCGUGUGUGAAGAAGGCCUUCGGGUUGUAAAGCACUUUUGUUGGGAAAGAAAAGCAGCCGGUUAAUACCCGGUUGUCAUGACGGUACCCAAAGAAUAAGCACCGGCUAACUUCGUG